GAAGGAACUUCUGGUGUGAUAUGUAUUUAUCAAUAUAUCACAGCCAGUAGUUACCUACGA
rnacentral:pre_miRNA from 1 species